rnacentral:lncRNA from 1 species
GAAAGAAAGGCCGGCUCUGGGUGGCUGCCUGAGCUUCCUACUGGAUGCGGCUGUGAUCACAACAAAAUGGUAUGACCCCUGGCCUCUCUGAAUCCACGUCCUAACAGACGGUGCUGUGUCAGGAUCCAGCUACGCUCGCUGAGCAGGACGGGUCCCAUCCUGCGUCUAACGAGGAAGGGUCGACUUGUGCAGCCUCCAACACAGUGCCGCUUGUCUUCAAAGCCCGCCGUGGAACGCAAGGAAAAAGCUGAUCCUGGAACUGCCCUCUGUGAGAAAGAAGGAAGCUCCUGUGUGGGUAUGGAGGGGUGAGGAGCAGUGGAGACGGAGGGAGAGAAAAGAAAAAACACAAAGGAAUAUAGGCCGGAGAAGAUGGUGAGAGAAUGACAGCGACACAGUGAGACAGAAAGAGAGAACAAGCAAAGCACGGCGUCUAAAAAAUCCCCCAAAACCCCGACAAGUUGCUAACGUUUGUAAAUUUUGAGCGAUGGGCAGAAGGGGGUUUGUUACAUUAUUCGCUGUAUUUUUCUGUAUUUUUCUAAUUCACGUUUUCAAAAAAGGAACUGGGGGAAAAUGUCACCCAAAUGAAUAUUUUUAGUUCAAAAAUUUUGUGAACUUAGUUGUCAUCAUUCUAGGCAGCAACCACCCGGGAGAUUCGGUUUUCGGUGAUUCCAAAUUACCUUGAGGCACCUCAAGCUUCAGAAGAGGAAAAGGCAGGCAGGAGAGCGAGGAAGCUUGGGGGGGGG